ACGCGUUCUCCGGCAAGAGUGGUUUCAGCUGUUUUUUUGGACGUGCUAGUAGUUAACUCAUGGGAUAGAAAUACUACCGGGAGUGGUGAGAAACAAGACCUAGAAAGCUCAGAGAAAAGCAGAUGGAGAGUGGAGCUCUUGUCUGUCUUCUCGGCUCCUAACGGCAGCCCCAGAUUCGCAAUGAAGAGCCCCACGCCACAUGAAAUGUGAGCAAGUCCACCCACCUCAUCUACCCUGGCGGCCAGUUCCUCGUUGGACCAGAUCCCUUCUAUCAUAAGCUCCUCCUCAGCACAUGGUUAUUACUGGAAUGCUGGUGGUUUGGGCAACUCUUUUUCUGGUGAGAUGGUGCAGUGGGAAGGUACAUUCCACUUCCAGCGGGCUGUCCCUCGGUGCUGGCUUGGCUUCUUGGGAAAAGAGUGAAGAAUCAGAGCCUACACGCUGCUGCUGAGCUCCACAGCCUCCAUCUUGCCUCCUCCUGUUUAGACGAUGCGGGUCCUAGUUCUGGGAAGCCCUUCCACCGGCAGAUCGCAGAGCCUCUCUGAACUUCAGGCUCCUCAUCUAUAAAAUGGACCUCCCAAGGUGGUGGUUUAGUGCUGUCAGGGACAUGUUGGCAGGAGGACCGUGUGAGCUGUUGUGUCCACAGUAGCCUGGAAAGGCCCUUCCCGCUGAGGCGUAUGGCCCAAUAAAGUAGAGGGGUGAAUUCAAAGCAAGACCUCAAGCAGGGGGUGAAGCGGACAUGAUGUAGAGAAGCUGCUGCUGAUGGCAAUGGGACCAGAAAAGGGGGGCCUAAGGAAGAGAGAACAUGAGAAGCAAAAAGGGCAGCCCCUUAACCUUCAACCUCAGAGGCUCGUGUGGGAGAAACCCAGUCAGGUCUGAGGGGAGAUCUCACAGCAAGGGGGUGGGUGGGACUUGACUCAGAUUGCAGUGGGGAGAAAUUUUAAUGACACCCCCUCCCUAGCAAACCAGCGAUGCAAGAUGGUGCCAGCACAAUAUGGUGCCAGUCAGGAGGUGGUUUGGAAUGGCUGAGGAAGGGAGUCUGGGAAGUGGCUUCAUGCAACGCUGCUCGUUCUAGUGAGAAUGCAGCCAGGUAGUCCUAGGUCCCAGGGGCUGCAGAGCCAAGAUCUGCCUCACCAGCUAUGUGCAGGGACCACGCACUUUGGCUUCACCUCUUCCUGCCCCUACCCCACCAGCAAGCCCCAGGGACCAGAACCAUCUCUGUCCUGCGUGUGUGUGUGUGUGUGUGUGUGUAAGAAUGCAGGGGACUCCACUCAGACCUUCAACCCUCUUGUCCCACCACCAUGAGGCCCAUGAACAUCUCUCUGCACCAGGAAAUUAUCUUGGCUGGGAGAAGGCGGAAGGGUGAGAAAACCUUGGAAUACUGAGCAAUUUUACUCAAAAGAGACUGAGUUAAUCAUACAGAAAUGGAGCUAUGUCUAAGGGGCAAUUUAAUGCUUUCUUUUUGUUUGUUUUCUUUUUGCCCGUCAGUAGUAGGAAUUAUCAGAUCACGAUGAGAAAAGUAUAAGAAAAAGUAAGAACAAUACUGAUUUGACCCAUCUGGGUAGGUGUGUGUGUGUGAUCUUUAGCCCUCCCACAAUUAUGUCUGUACACGUUUGCUGGGGCAACUGUAUAUUUUCAAUUCCAAUCGUCAGACCUUUCCUUGAAGCUCACGUGUGUUUUGAUCUGGCCAGGAAUUGAGAAUCAUAAAAUCAUUAAAUCUGUAUUAAUUACCUAUUGCUGCAUAGUAAGUUAAUCCAAAAUUUAGCUGAAAUAAAUAUGUAUUAUC
rnacentral:lncRNA from 1 species